UGCCUAGUGCUGGGCUCCCCAGCACAUGAGAGACAUGGACCUGCUGCACUGAGUCCUGCAAAAGGCCACAAAGGUGAUUCAGGGCCAUAUAAGCAGAGGCUGAGAGUUGGGCUUAUUCAGCCUGGAGAAGAGAAGGCUGAAGGGGACCUUAUCAGUGUUUAUAAAUAUCUGACUGGAGGGGAGAGGGGAGUAAGGAAGAUGGGCCAGACCCUUCUCGGUGGUGGUGCCCAGUGACACCACCAGAGGCAAUGGCCAUAAACAGAAAUAUAGGAAAUUCUGUGUGAACGAAAGAAAUAACUUUUUUACGGUUCAGUGGUCAAACACUGGAGCAAGUUGCCCAGAGAGGUUGUAGAAUCUCCAUUCUUGGAGAUAUUAGAAACCUGACUGGAUGCAGCCCUGAGCAAACUCCUUUAUUUGCCCCUGCUUUGACCGAGGAUCGGACCAGAUGGUCCCAAAAAUGCUCAACCAUUCUGUGAUUCUGUGGAGUGGACACACCUGUGCAUUUAUACAUCUGUGAACACACAGGCACCAGCAUCUUGCUCCCAUUGCUUCUUCUCUCCUCUGAUGGUGUUUAAGCCCUUUUGAACAGCAGCCCAUGGAAGGGGAUGGGUGGACAGAUUGUCUAUUAAAACAGGAUCAAGGCCAUAAGAAUAACAGCAUGAGAACAAUGCGAGAACAACUGACAACAGAGGAAAACAGCUGUCCCAGAAGAGCUGGAAAACACUCUUAUGGCAGCUUAGGAGAAAAGAACAUUGUACCUUGACAAGCACUGUGGUUUCCCAUCUCUGUCAAUGGGUUCAGCAAGUGACUCAGAGUGACACAUAAAUGAACAGUCAGCGCCACUCCCUGCAGUGUCUGGCCAUUCAGAGAACUCCCUCACCACCCAUACAUCUUUGUGGUUUGAGAAGUCUGACAAGAUUGCCAUCAAAAGUGGAAAAUUCGGGAAAGCCCAACUCUGUUUUGACAUCAGCCACUGGUUUAAAAUGCCAAAGCACAGAGAAAGCAAAACCACAAAGAUACAGGAACUGCAACACAACUGUUGUCAAGUGUUAAUACAUGCAUAUUGAACCACCACGUCCUGAAUGUGAUAAGCACCUGCCAGGAUCUGCUCCAGGACUCACCAGAGCUGUCCCUAAUGAGACCUGAUUUGCUCUUGAGUGUGUCUGUUCCCUGCGGAUGCUGGAGAGUCCCCCCACAGAUGGUGCAGAGGAUGCUCUUGUGUCUGGAGCCACGUGUGCUACGUCUCAUCUUCACAUGGAGUACCUAUCUGCCAGAGUAGAGCUGGCAAAGGCAGGAUAUAGGGCAGAGCAGAGACCAGGGAAAUGGCAGCCCCGUCACCGAGCCAGCGCUGCAGCAGAGCUGAUGGAGUAUCUAGGUCAGUGUGCAGCAGCAAUUCUUCGCAGAUGACUGAGAUCUACAGAGCCAAAGGCCAGCCCUGGCAGUAGAGCCAAGGGCUCCUUUUGCAACUGAAGGGUGUAAAAUCAGCUCCCCCUUUCAAGCAGCGUUCGCAGGAGGGAAGUCCAAGCCUCAGCCUCCAUGAGCUGGAACUAACGCCCUUCGGCUCCGCUUACCCGUCCCUGCUCAGCGGAACACAGGCUGGGAAAUCAGCGUUGCCAUGGGAUUCGGAUACAAAAGGCUGAAAGAUGUGGAUGUCAAUCAAGUACCCAGAUAUACAGGGAGGAUAUUUUCAGCCCUCAAACUAAAGCUGAUGUGGAAGCUCUUCUCUAAGAAACAACACUUUGCUUUCUCACGCAUGAGAGCAAUGUCAAAUGUUACCCAAAUUUUUUUAUAUUUUAAAUGUCCUCACUUAGCUUUGAAGGUUUUCAAAUUUCACACAGGUUUUAGGAAGAGCUCAUGCACUCAAACACUUGGCUACUUUUUCCAAAUAUCCUGCUUGGCCUAAUGAGAGGCAUUGCCUCUGCUGACAGCCUUAGUGCCUUCAGAAGAGAUACAGCUUUGGAAGCCAGCACACUGCCUGCUGCGUGUGCACAGAUCGUGUAUCAUGGGAUCUUUCUCCUUUCUGCUUCUAUGCCUCAACCCACUGGGACAGGGGCAUGAAAGGAUCAGUGCUUUCCCUAUAUAUCAUCCCUGAGCAUCAAUAAGACUGGCAGCUGUCUCUCAAGAUUUGUGCUAAACCGUUCUUUAGAGGUUGAUUCACAGAGCUACAGCCUUCAAAGUCAAGACACACUGUUAGAUCAUUCUGUCAGGUAGCAGAGGCCAUCAGGAUUUGUGCUGAUUUUUGUUAUGUUAAAACAUAUCCUUCAAAAAAAGACAGUCCACUCCUGCUUUGAUAGCCACAGAAGAGGGAAGAUUUCCCUGUACUGACAGAAGUUUAGAAAGUCAUUCAUGAGGUUUAUUCUCCCUUGUUGAAAACACUAGGAGAAUUUUCCUGAUAAUCUUGAUUCCUGACAGAAGAAUACAUCAAAUUUUGUGCUUAGGAGCUAAACUGGUAAACUGUGAUGCCAAACAGCUAACUAACCUG